rnacentral:rRNA from 1 species
AUUGAACGCUGGCGGAAUAGCUUUACACAUGCAAGUCGAACGGCAGCACUGGGGGCAAGCCCUAGGUAGGCGAGUAGGCGAACGGGUGAGUAACACAUCGGAACGCGUCCUAGUAAUGGGGGAUAACCUAUCGAAAGGUAGGCUAAUACCGCAUACGUCCUGAGGGAGAAAGCGGGGGAUCGUAAGACCUCGCGUUAUAGGAGUGGCCGAUGUCGGAUUAGCUAGUUGGUGGGGUAAAGGCCUACCAAGGCGACGAUCCGUAGCUGGUCUGAGAGGACGACCAGCCACACUGGGACUGAGACACGGCCCAGACUCCUACUGGAGGCAGCAGUGGGGAAUUUUGGACAAUGGGCUCAAGCCUGAUCCAGCCAUUCCGCGUGAGUGAAGAAGGCCUUCGGGUUGUAAAGCUCUUUCGGCCGUGACGAAACUCGUAUGUGGCUAAUACCCUAGUAUGCGAUGACGGUACUGGAAGAAGAAGCACCGGCUAACUACGUGCCAGCAGCCGCGGUAAUACGUAGGGUGCGAGCGUUAAUCGGAAUUACUGGGCGUAAAGGGUGCGCAGGCGGUUUUGUAAGACAGUCUGUGAAAUCCCCGGGCUUAACCUGGGAACUGCGGUCGUGACUGCAAGACUUGAGUGCGGCAGAGGGGGGUGGAAUUCCACGUGUAGCAGUGAAAUGCGUAGAGAUGUGGAGGAACACCGAUGGCGAAGGCAGCCCCCUGGGAUCGACACUGACGCUCAUGCACGAAAGCGUGGGGAGCAAACAGGAUUAGAUACCCUGGUAGUCCACGCCCUAAACGAUGACGAACUAGGUCGUUGG